AUUGAACGCUGGCGGCAGGCCUAACACAUGCAAGUCGAGCGGCAGCGGGAAAGUAGCUUGCUACUUUUGCCGGCGAGCGGCGGACGGGUGAGUAAUGCCUGGGAAAUUGCCCAGUCGAGGGGGAUAACAGUUGGAAACGACUGCUAAUACCGCAUACGCCCUACGGGGGAAAGCAGGGGACCUUCGGGCCUUGCGCGAUUGGAUAUGCCCAGGUGGGAUUAGUUAGUUGGUGAGGUAAUGGCUCACCAAGGCGACGAUCCCUAGCUGGUCUGAGAGGAUGAUCAGCCAACCUGGAACUGAGACACGGUCCAGACUCCUACGGGAGGCAGCAGUGGGGAAUAUUGCACAAUGGGGGAAACCCUGAUGCAGCCAUGCCGCGUGUGUGAAGAAGGCCUUCGGGUUGUAAAGCACUUUCAGCGAGGAGGAAAGGUUGAUGCCUAAUACGUAUCAACUGUGACGUUACUCGCAGAAGAAGCACCGGCUAACUCCGUGCCAGCCGCCGCCGUAACAC
rnacentral:rRNA from 1 species